GAAAAUAUUGUUUUUAGCAUAUACAAACAGCAAAAGGUCUGACAAGCAGAAAAGUGGACUCAGCGAGGGUCCCUGAGAGAAAAAAGUCGUUAAAGGAUAUCCUAAGAAGCAUUUACAACAGGUUACCUGGAACUUUAGA